GAUGAACGCUGGCGGUGUGCCUAAUACAUGCAAGUCGAGCGAACAGAUAAUGAGCUUGCGCCUCUGACGGUAGCGGCGGACGGGCGAGUAACACGUGGAUAAGCUACCUAUAAGACUGGGAGAACUUCGGGAAAACGGAGCUAAUACCGGAUAAUAUGUUGAACGGGAUGGUUCAAUAGUUAAACACGGUUUUGCUGUCACUUAUAGAUGAAUCCGCGUCGGAUUAGCUAGUUGGUAAGGUAACGGCCAACCAAGGCAACGAUGCGUAGCCGAGCUGAGAGGGUGAUCGGCCACACUGGAACUGAGACACGGUCCAGACUCCUACGGGAGGCAGCAGUAGGGAAUAUUGCGCAAUGGGCGCAAGCCUGACCGAGCCACGCCGCGUGAGUGAUGAAGGUCUUCGGAUCGUAAAGCUCUGUUAUUAGGGAAGAACAACUGUGUAAGUAUAUAUGCACGUCUUGACGGUACCUAAACAGAAAGCCACGGCUAACUACGUG
rnacentral:rRNA from 1 species